AUUGAACGCUGGCGGCAGGCCUAACACAUGCAAGUCGAGCGGAUGAAGAGAGCUUGCUCUCUGAUUUAGCGGCGGACGGGUGAGUAAUGCCUAGGAAUCUGCCUGGUAGUGGGGGAUAACGUUCCGAAAGGAACGCUAAUACCGCAUACGUCCUACGGGAGAAAGCAGGGGACCUUCGGGCCUUGCGCUAUCAGAUGAGCCUAGGUCGGAUUAGCUAGUUGGUGAGGUAAUGGCUCAACAAGGCGACGAUCCGUAACUGGUCUGAGAGGAUGAUCAGUCACACUGGAACUGAGACACGGUCCAGACUCCUACGGGAGGCAGCAGUGGGGAAUAUUGGACAAUGGGCGAAAGCCUGAUCCAGCCAUGCCGCGUGUGUGAAGAAGGUCUUCGGAUUGUAAAGCACUUUAAGUUGGGAGGAAGGGCAUUAACCUAAUACGUUAGUGUUUUGACGUUACCAACAGAAUAAGCACCGGCUAACUUCGUGCCAGCCGCCGCGGUAACAC
rnacentral:rRNA from 1 species